GGCCGCCUAGCUCAGCCGGUUAGAGCGCACGGUUCACAUCCGUGAGGUCGAGGGUUCGAGUCCCCCGGCGGCCA
rnacentral:tRNA from 1 species